CAAGCAUUAACCUUCAACCUGAUGGCUUCCACACACAAAAAGUCUCCUGCCAUGAUGCUUUUUUUGUUGACCUUUCUUUGCAUCACUAUGGUCCCUAUUUUAGCUGUCGAGAUAGAUAAGUGCACUAAAGAUUGUAUGGCAGUCAAAGUGAAUUGCGGAACAGUAUGUAAACAAGUUGGCCAUCAAACAGGACAUGGUUGCGAGAUGGUACAAGGUGUAAUGAAAUGCUGCUGUUUUCAUUAGAUAAUACAUGUUCAUAAAGGUUAAAUGCAUGGGUUAUAAUUCCCAUGCCUAUCAGUUAAUGGUUAUUUCUUGUAAACCGUUUAUUCUGCUCUUGCUAAUAAAGUUAAAAAAAAUAAAAAACGACUCCAUCUCACGAUGGCUUCGGCUUCUAAUUU